CCGAUUUCAGGCUUGAAUCGCAGAGAUCACAAAACCCCCCGGCGCUGUAGGAUGUGGCUGCGGUUGAUUAGGUAGACGGUGGGGUAACGGCCCACCGUGCCCAUAAUCAGUACAGGUUGUGAGAGCAAGAACCUGGAGACGGAAUCUGAGACAAGAUUCCGGGCCCUACGGGGCGCAGCAGGCGCGAAACCUUUACACUGCACGCACGUGCGAUAAGGGGACUCCGAGUGCGAGGGCAUAUCGUCCUCGCUUUCGUGUACCGUAGGGUGGUACACCAACAAGGGCUGGGCAAGACCGGUGCCAGCCGCCGCGGUAAUACCGGCAGCCCGAGUGAUGGCCGAUCUUAUUGGGCCUAAAGCGUCCGUAGCUGGCUGCGCAAGUCCGUCGGGAAAUCCACUCGCCCAACGAGUGGGCGUCCGACGGAAACUGCACAGCUUGGGACCGGAAGGCUCGAAGGGUACGUUCGGGGUAGGAGUGAAAUCCCAUAAUCCCGCACGGACCACCGAUGGCGAAAGCACUUCGAGAAAACGGAUCCGACAGUGAGGGACGAAAGCCAGGGUCUCCAACCGGAUUAGAUACCCGGGUAGUCCUGGCCGUAAACAAUGUUCGCUAGGUAUGACACAGACUACGCGUCUCUGUUGUGCCGUAGGGAAGCCGAGAAGCGAACCGCCUGGGAAGUACGUCUGCAAGGAUGAAACUUAAAGGAAUUGGCGGGGGAGCACUACAACCGGAGGAGCCUGCGGUUUAAUUGGAUUC
rnacentral:rRNA from 1 species